AUUGAACGCUGGCGGCAGGCUUAACACAUGCAAGUCGAACGGUAACAGGGAGCUUGCUCCGCUGACGAGUGGCGAACGGGUGAGUAAUGCGUCGGAACGUGCCGAGUAGUGGGGGAUAACGCAUCGAAAGGUGUGCUAAUACCGCAUACGUACUGAGGUAGAAAGUGGGGGACCUUCGGGCCUCACGCUAUUCGAGCGGCCGACGUCUGAUUAGCUAGUUGGUGAGGUAAAGGCUCACCAAGGCGACGAUCAGUAGCGGGUCUGAGAGGAUGAUCCGCCACACUGGGACUGAGACACGGCCCAGACUCCUACGGGAGGCAGCAGUGGGGAAUUUUGGACAAUGGGCGCAAGCCUGAUCCAGCCAUGCCGCGUGUGUGAAGAAGGCCUUAUGGUUGUAAAGCACUUUAAGCGAGGAGGAGGCUACUUUAGUUAAUACCUAGAGAUAGUGGACGUUACUCGCAGAAUAAGCACCGGCUAACUCUGUGCCAGCAGCCGCCGUAACAC
rnacentral:rRNA from 1 species